GGGGCAGGGAACAGCUUGGACGCAUCAUUAAAUAACAUCAUAAAACGCUGAGAGUUGCUCACCCAAGUGGGAGCAGAGAGCAGCCAUAAGAAGACACUAAAUGACAUCUACAAAAGGAGGAGAUCCAAGGAAUAGGAGCGAAGCAAUAUGUAUGGAAGAUCAAUAGUAAAAUGGAUUAACUACGUCCUAGUAUGCAGUAGAAGACGCUAAUCCAUGAAAAGAAGCAUUCUUAGCCGGGUCAACACCUGCUAUCCAAACAACUGGUCCGGCUCCAAAACCGGUCCAUUCGUGCCUUCGGGUCAAUUUCCGCUCGGGUCGUCUAAGAUCGUGUCAGCCCCUGCUAUCCAAGCUCAAGGACGAAUAAGUAUUGUUGCUUCCCCUAUAACCGCCGUAUUUGAAGAGGAUAAAUCAUACCGCCUCCAUGUUUUAGUAGGAUAUAU
rnacentral:lncRNA from 1 species